rnacentral:lncRNA from 1 species
UGCUGGAAGGUUACACAGGUUAUGUCGGAGAGCCAGAGAGCACGCGGGGACCGCAUGAUGAGCAACGACAGAGAAAGGCACGAUCAGAAUGGCGCUGAUGAUCUCACCGCGGUAGGGCUUUCUCCUGCUUAACCAGAGGGGAGUGGGAAUCAUCACACACACGCACACACAGCUAUGUCUUACUAUACUUGUGAGGACUUUUUGGCGACCAACAAUUGAUUCCCAUUGAAAAUCCUAUUUUCCCUAAACCCUAAACCUAACCCUAACCAUAAUUUGAAUCUUAACCCUAAUUCUAACCCUAAACCUAACCCCUAAGCCUAAAAUAGCCUUUUUACAAAUGUCCUCACUUCUCUGAAUUUGAGUUGGUUUACUAUUCUUGUGACGACUUCUGGUACUCACAAGUAUAGUAAAACGUGUACACACACACACAUACACACACAUACGAGUACACAUAGCCUCAUCGUCAUGUGUCUGAGAGGAGUUCUGAUGACUACUGUAUGCUGUCUAGGGUUUCUUUUGAAAGCCACGGUUUGUUGUUUCUGAUUGUACAGCUCUCCUCCUUGUUGAGCUUAUUAUAUUAUGCCGGUCAUCUUUCAGUUUGAAACGUUUCCCAUUUUAAAAUGUAUUUCAGGAUUUCAAAAACUGUUGGAUUACCUCGUCAGAUUCUGUGUUGGCUGUUUUCAUUUCUAUUUUUGACAUUUGACAUAAUUAUUAUGUCGGUUUGUUAUUAUCCAUUCAGCAUACUGGUAACUGGACCACAUAUAUCCAACUAAUGAAUCAUCGAUAGAGCACAUAGUUCCUAGUGUUGUCAUCACUCCCUGUGUAUUUGUUGUUAUCAUUCUGUGCCUGAGUUAGUCACUGAUUUGAGAGAGUUGAUAGCUUUGACCUGGCUUGAUGAUGGGAUGUUGUUCGUAACCAGGCCACGGGACGACCUCCCUUGAUUGCAGCUCUUCCAUGACACACUCUUCCAACUGAUCUAAGUGGUUCUAUCUCUAUGCGCUGUGUGAACCGAUGGCAGAGAAUAAUGUCGACCAAUAACAUCUCCCAGGCCAGGAAGCUGGUGGAGCAGCUCCGCAUCGAGGUAUCUAAGGCAGCAGCAGAGCUGAUGAACUACUGUGAGAUGCACGCACACAGAGAUCCUCUGCUAGUGGGAUUGCCCACAUCUGGAAACCCCUUCAAGGACAAGAAGCCCUGCAUCAUCCUAUAGCUCCGCCCCAUCCCAUCCCUGGCCUGUCAAUCACUACCUUUGACCUCAAGACACUGUGGGAUGCUCCGUGAAACCCUAACCUCGAAGAGACUUUGAAGGAUAGAGAAGUGAUGCUAUAUACAAUACAUAUACAAUACAUAUAUAGUCAUGAUUGUGAGCUGAAUAGGUGAAAAUCAAAUGAAUGGGAAUCAUUGAUGCAACAGAUGCUUAGGCAGAAAAAGCGUUGUUGGGACGCAUUGGAAAACAGGAACGUUACCGGAUGAUACUGCAAGAGGAGCGGUGAAACACAUAAUUGGCAGAUACAAAUGAAGGAACUACAAGCACAAGGCUGUUGGCUUUGUGUUCAUCCAAACACAUUUUCUGUCAUUCAGGAUGUAACAUUGUCUGGCUAGAGAGAGAACCCAGCUAGCACAUUUGGUUCCAUUAAAGUUUUGUUGACGCUGAGAACAGAAUGUAUGUUUUAAAAUAACAUACUUAAAUGUUACUGUUUUCUUGUUGUUUUUAUGGAAAGUUUUCUUGAUGUUCUGAGAACAUGGCUUUAAAUAGAAUCAUGAGGAAACUUGCAGAAAAUGUUAUGCUGAAGUACUGAAAUUCCCACAGAAGAAUAUUUGUUUCUUAAAGUUCUCUGGACGUUCUGAGAACAUGACUUUAAAUAGCAUUGUGAGGAAACCUGCAGAAAACGUUAUGCUUAAGUACUGAAAUUCCCACAGAAGAACGUAGUUUCUUAAUUUCUUUGAACAAUUUAAGAACAUUACUUUAAAUCAGGGUUCCCCAACUGGUGGCCCAAGGCCCAAAUUUGGCCCGUGGGUGGUUUUAUUUGGCCCCCCCAAGUUUUCUAAGCAAAAAAUAAAUCGAAUUUUCAUCGUUGGACGUAAAAACUCUAGCUAAUUAGCUCAAAGUGAUUUUAAUUUAAAAAUCUGUUCCUAAGUAUUCCCACGCAUAAUAGAGAGGUUUGAAAUGAUUGUUUUAGUCAAACAUUACGUCUGAAAAAAAACGGCCCGCGGCUGAAUCUAUUUUAGUUGAUGUUCCCUGCUUUAAAUAGGAACAUGAGGAACCCUGUAGGAAACGUUAUGCCGAAGUAAUGAAAUUCCCACAUAAGAAACCUAUGGUUCUCAGAACGUUAUGUGCUAGCUGGGUAAGGUCAACAACUAAAAAACUAAAUUGUGUUUUAAUACAUGUAUAUUCUUCUAAUUCUCAAUGUUUUCCUGAAUCAGAAGUCAUUAUGUUAACUAUCUGUCCUAAUGCCAAUAAGGAAUGUAACAGUGUCUUUUUUCAUCAUUUGUCCUGCUUUCCCUCUUUUUUGGGGUACAAAUAACCACACCCUAUUUGGCAGAUGUAUUUUCCUCAAAACGCUUUCUUCUCCAAUGUUUCCAAUGAUCAUUGUGUCUAAUCCUUAAAAGCCUCUGUAAAGCCUUUGGUCCUUUAUCUGGGAAUGAAUGUAUCUUCGUGUCAAUGUUAAUGCCAUUUACUGUAAAAUUAUUCUUCCAGAUCAUCAGUCAUUAGGUUUGGUUAUUAAUGGUGACAAUUCUGUUCAUCUUUUAUUUUUUUAUUCAUCGCUUUGGUGCUCAUUUUUUUUUUAACUAAGUACAACACAAAAUCAUACAAUCACUUUUUCAAACUUAAUCAGUGUUUCAUCAAGAAAUGCAUGUUUCACGCUGCAGUACAUGUUUAUAUAAAGUUAUUGCCUUUCACAAUGCAA